UGGGGAAUAUUGGACAAUGGGCGAAAGCCUGAUCCAGCCAUGCCGCGUGAGUGAUGAAGGCCUUAGGGUUGUAAAGCUCUUUUGCCGGGGACGAUAAUGACGGUACCCGGAGAAUAAGUCCCGGCUAACUUCGUGCCAGCAGCCGCGGUAAUACGAAGGGGACUAGCGUUGUUCGGAAUUACUGGGCGUAAAGCGCACGUAGGCGGAUUUGUAAGUCAGGGGUGAAAUCCCGGGGCUCAACCUCGGAACUGCCUUUGAUACUGUGAAUCUUGAGUCCGAUAGAGGUGGGUGGAAUUCCUAGUGUAGAGGUGAAAUUCGUAGAUAUUAGGAAGAACACCAGUGGCGAAGGCGGCCCACUGGAUCGGUACUGACGCUGAGGUGCGAAAGCGUGGGGAGCAAACA
rnacentral:rRNA from 1 species